rnacentral:rRNA from 1 species
GACGAACGCUGGCGGCGUGCUUAACACAUGCAAGUCGAACGGAAAGGCCCCUUUGGGGGUACUCGAGUGGCGAACGGGUGAGUAACACGUGAGUAACCUGCCCUUGACUUCGGGAUAACUUCAGGAAACUGGGGCUAAUACCGGAUAGGAAUCCUUGCUGCAUGGUGGGGGUUGGAAAGCUUCGGCGGUUUUGGAUGGACUCGCGGCUUAUCAGCUUGUUGGUGGGGUAGUGGCUUACCAAGGCUUUGACGGGUAGCCGGCCUGAGAGGGCGACCGGCCACAUUGGGACUGAGAUACGGCCCAGACUCCUACGGGAGGCAGCAGUGGGGAAUAUUGCACAAGGGGCGGAAGCCUGAUGCAGCAACGCCGCGGGCGGGAUGACGGCCUUCGGGUUGUAAACCGCUUUCAACAGGGGCGAAGCUUGUGGUGACGGUACCUGCAGAAGAAGCACCGGCUAACUACGUG